rnacentral:rRNA from 1 species
UACGUAGGGGGCAAGCGUUGUCCGGAAUCAUUGGGCGUAAAGCGCGUGUAGGCGGCCCGGUAAGUCCGCUGUGAAAGUCGGGGGCUCAACCCUCGAAUGCCGGUGGAUACUGUCGGGCUAGAGUGCGGGAGAGGCGAGUGGAAUUCCUGGUGUAGCGGUGAAAUGCGCAGAUAUCAGGAGGAACACCAAUUGCGAAGGCAGCUCGCUGGAACGUAACUGACGCUGAGACGCGAAAGCGUGGGGAGCAAACAGG